UACGUAGGGGGCUAGCGUUGUCCGGAUUUAUUGGGCGUAAAGCGCACGUAGGCGGUCCGUUAUGUCGGGUGUGAAAGCCCUCGGCUUAACCGAGGAAGUGCAUUCGAAACUGGCGGACUUGAGUACCGGAGAGGGUCGCGGAAUUCCCGGUGUAGAGGUGAAAUUCGUAGAUAUCAGGAGGAACACCGGUGGCGAAGGCGGAUCUCUGGGCCUUACCUGACGCUGAGGAGCGAAAGCGUGGGGAGCAAACAGG
rnacentral:rRNA from 1 species